rnacentral:lncRNA from 1 species
ACCGGAGCCUCGAACCCACGAAGACCGCAGCACUCACCGUUCUCUUUCCUCAGCCUUGAAAUGAACUUCUUUGGUGGGAUGACGCCAACCUUCUUCUUCUGCGUGGCAAUGCUGUGGAAAAGGUCUGCCAGGCAUGUCAACAGGUUUUCCUUCUUUUUUUGCUGGGCCUUGUAUGCCAACACAUUCUCCCGGAACGGCCGGCAGAAGUACAGCGCUUGAAGCACGGAGUUACAGUAGCAUGUGUUUCCAAACUGCCAAAGCACAAGAGGAGAGGCUGCAAUCAUCGCCCGGACGUAAGCCACCGCCGGACAGGAGCAGGGAGAGAGGUGCCACCGCAGGACAAGAGGAGGGAGGUGCCACUUCCGGACAGGAGAGAGGCGGGAGGUGCCAGGAUCCCGGGACCUGCCAAUCCCUGCGUUCCCGUAUUAGAGCCAAGCGUGUCUAAUUAGAAAAGACAUGGCCAUGAAGCAGACUGGGAACCAGUCAAAGUGGUCACUUGCCACAAAACACACAGUAAGUAGAAGAUAACUUGAAUCCAAGCAUCCAGAACAGCAGUACAGCAGGCUCUCCCCUCCCGCUUAGGUUUCUGUGUGAUGUCUCCCUCUCUCUCUGCUCUGGCAACAUUCUAGUCUCCUUUACCCACCAUCUGAGAGAAGACACAGUGCUCAGAUGGGAGGCAGCUUCAGAACCCUUUCUUCAGAGUUGUGAAACCAUUGUCUCCACAGCUUUACCACAGCCGACCUUUUGAAAUAACAGAUCAAAUUACGGCAGGACUUCGUGGAACAGACAAAGAACACCAACAUUUCUUAAUAAAGCUAUUUCUAAAUCAUAAACUAAUAU